AGACCAUGUGGACACCUCCUAGUGGUGGGGUUGUUAGGAAUGUUUAUCAGACCAUGUGGACACCUCCUAGUGGUCUGGUUGUUAGGAGUGUUUAUCAGACCAUGUGGACACCUCCUAGUGGUCUGGUUGUUAGGAGUGUUUAUCAGACCAUGUGGACACCUCCUAGUGGUGGGGUUGUUAGGAGUGUUUAUCAGACCAUGUGGACACCUCCUAGUGGUGGGGUUGUUAGGAGUGUUUAUCAGACCAUGUGGACACCUCCUAGUGGUGGGGUUGUUAGGAGUGUUUAUCAGACCAUGUGGACACCUCCUAGUGGUCUGGUUGUUAGGAGUGUUUAUCAGACCAUGUGGACACCUCCUAGUGGUCUGGUUGUUAGGAGUGUUUAUCAGACCAUGUGGACACCUCCUAUUGGUGGGGUUGUUAAUAGAACUACCCAUCCCGGAUCCGGGAGAAUUGUCAUCAACUUACACUAAUUAGCAUAACGCAAUGGACAAAAAAUCUUUGAAAAUAUUCAUAUUCAUGAAAUCACAAGUGAAAUAUAUUGAAACACAGCUUAGCCUUUUGUUAAUCACCCUGUCAUCUCAGAUUUUGAAAUUAUGCUUUACAGCCAAAGCAAGACAAGCAUUUGUGUAAGUUUAUCGAUAGCCUAGCAUAAUGCAAAGCUCUGUAAAAUCAGAAAAGCAAUCAAAUUACCAGAAGGUAUUUAAAUGGUAAUAACCAGACUUUUUUCCAACAGAUAUUAUUGGCAAAUGUAUUCCAGUAAGUUGUGACAUAAGGAAUGGAUACAAUCUCCCUUUGAAAUAAAGCAGGUAGAUCUGUUGUUCUGAGGAAACAAGGAGAGAAACAGUUUCCCCAUUGGAGAGUCAACUGGAUUAAGUGAAGGUAGGUCAAGAAGGUGAGGUCUGGUUACACCUCUAAAUAACAUGAGUUCCAGAUGGAAUAGCAUCAGAGACUAUGGAGAACUCUCUAGGAGGGCAGGUCAACAAGGUGAGGUCUGGUUACACCUCUAAAUAACAUGAGAGUUCCAGAUGGAAUAGCAUCAGAGACUAUGGAGAACUCUCUAGGAGGGCAGGUCAACAAGGUGAGGUCUGGUUACACCUCUAAAUAACAUGAGUUCCAGAUGGAAUAGCAUCAGAGACUAUGGAGAACUCUCUAGGAGGGCAGGUCAACAAGGUGAGGUCUGGUUACACCUCUAAAUAACAUGAGUUCCAGAUGGAAUAGCAUCAGAGACUAUGGAGAACUCUCUAGGAGGGCAGGUCAACAAGGUGAGGUCUGGUUACACCUCUAAAUAACAUGAGAGUUCCAGAUGGAAUAGCAUCAGAGACUAUGGAGAACUCUCUAGGAGGGCAGGUCAACAAGGUGAGGUCUGGUUACACCUCUAAAUAACAUGAGUUCCAGAUGGAAUAGCAUCAGAGACUAUGGAGAACUCUCUAGGAGGGUAGGUCAACAAGGUGAGGUCUGGUUACACCUCUAAAUAACAUGAGUUCCAGAUGGAAUAGCAUCAGAGACUAUGGAGAACUCUCUAGGAGGGUAGGUCAACAAGGUGAGGUCUGGCUACACCUCUAAAUAACAUGAGAGUUCCAGAUGGAAUAGCAUCAGAGACUAUGGAGAACUCUCUAGGAGGGCAGGUCAACAAGGUGAGGUCUGACUACACCUCUAAAUAACAUGAGAGUUCCAGAUGGAAUAGCAUCAGAGACUAUGGAGAACUCUCUAGGAGGGCAGGUCAACAAGGUGAGGUCUGGUUACACCUCUAAA